rnacentral:rRNA from 1 species
CAGUCGCCACGGUAAUACAUAGGGUGCGAGCGUUAAUCGGAAUUACUGGGCGUAAAGCGUGCGCAGGCGGUUUUGUAAGAUAGGCGUGAAAUCCCCGGGCUCAACCUGGGAAUGGCGCUUGUGACUGCAAAGCUAGAGUGCGGCAGAGGGGGAUGGAAUUCCGCGUGUAGCAGUGAAAUGCGUAGAUAUGCGGAGGAACACCGAUGGCGAAGGCAAUCCCCUGGGCCUGCACUGACGCUCAUGCACGAAAGCGUGGGGAGCAAACAGGAUUAGAUACCCCUGUAGUCCCUGUCUCUUAUAC